rnacentral:rRNA from 1 species
UCAAGGAUGAGCUCGCGGCCUAUCAGCUUGUUGGUGAGGUAACGGCUCACCAAGGCGUCGACGGGUAGCCGGCCUGAGAGGGUGACCGGCCACACUGGGACUGAGACACGGCCCAGACUCCUACGGGAGGCAGCAGUGGGGAAUAUUGCACAAUGGGCGCAAGCCUGAUGCAGCAACGCCGCGUGAGGGACGACGGCCUUCGGGUUGUAAACCUCUUUUAGCAGGGAAGAAGCGAAAGUGACGGUACCUGCAGAAAAAGCACCGGCUAACUACGUGCCAGCAGCCGCGGUAAUACGUAGGGUGCAAGCGUUAUCCGGAAUUAUUGGGCGUAAAGAGCUCGUAGGCGGUUUGUCGCGUCUGCUGUGAAAACUGGAGGCUCAACCUCCAGCCUGCAGUGGGUACGGGCAGACUAGAGUGCGGUAGGGGAGAUUGGAAUUCCUGGUGUAGCGGUGGAAUGCGCAGAUAUCAGGAGGAACACCGAUGGCGAAGGCAGAUCUCUGGGCCGUAACUGACGCUGAGGAGCGAAAGGGUGGGGAGCAAACAGGCUUAGAUACCCUGGUAGUCCACCCCGUAAACGUUGGGAACUAGUUGUGGGGUCCAUUCCACGGAUUCCGUGACGCAGCUAACGCAUUAAGUUCCCCGCCUGGGGAGUACGGCCGCAAGGCUAAAACUCAAAGGAAUUGACGGGGACCCGCACAAGCGGCGGAGCAUGCGGAUUAAUUCGAUGCAACGCGAAGAACCUUACCAAGGCUUGACAUAUACGAGAACGGCCAGAAAUGGUCAACUCUUUGGACACUCGUAAACAGG